rnacentral:lncRNA from 10 species
ACAGGUUGCCCCAUAGUGACCCUGGAGACUCCCGCCUGCCCCCAGUGAAGGAAUUGGUUACUCUCCCAGAGCCCUCCCGGGCAUCGCCCCCUUCCUCACUUCCUCCUCUUCCUGCCCCCAGCCUCUACCCCUCCAGCCUCCUGUGGCUUCACAGGCAAGUGCCGCAUCCCAGGAAGAAGGAGUUGGAGCUCCGUGAUGCCAUUCAAAAACAGAUGAGAUGGGGACAGAUUUAACCCAAAGGACAUAGUUCAACUCCUGGUCUUGACAGAGGAGAAGCCCUCAAAGAUGGAGUCUCACUCUGUUGCCAGGCUAGAAUACAAUGGCACGAACUUGGCUCACUGCAACCUCCGCCUCCUGGGUUCAAGAGAUUCUCCUGCCUCAGCGUCCUGAGUUGCUGGGACUACGGGCACACACCAUCAUGCCCAGCUAAUUUUUGUAUUUUUAGUAGAGACAGGGUUUCACCAUGUUGACCAGGAUGGUCUCGAUCUCUUGACCUCGUGAUCUGCCCACGUCGGCCUCCCAAAGUCCUGGGAUUACAGGCAUGAGCCAGUGCGCCUAGCAAACGACAGCUUUUUGAGCCUCUGUUUAACAAUCUCUUAAACCUUAUAGGUAGGCAGUUCUGAGACAGCUCCUAAUCAUCUCCCCUCCUGGUAUUCAAGCCCUGAUGGAAUACUCUCUUCUUCAAUGUGAGCUGGACUUAGUGGUUUUCUUCUAAUCCAUUGAAUACACACAAGUGAUGAGCUGUCAUUUCCAAAAUUAGUUCACACAAAGCUGUAACUUUUGUUUUGUUCACAGCCUCUCUCAAUUGCCUUCUCAGCUUGUAUGCUUUGAAGAAGCAAGCUGCAGUGUUGGAGAGGCCCAUGUGGCAAGGAAAUGAGGGUGGCCUCCAGUCAAUGGCUGGUGAGAAACUGAGACCUUCCUUCCAACAAUUGUCAAGUAACUGAAUACUCCCAACAAUCAUAUGGGUUAGGUUAGAAGUGAACCUUUCUCUAGUUGAGGUUUCAGAUAAGACCACAGAUAUUAUACUAACACCUUGAUUGCAGGCUUAUGAGAAACCUUGAAAUGAGAAGACUAAGUAAAACCAUAUCUGGAUUCCUGACUUGCAGAAACUGUGUGAUGAUAAAUGUGUGUUAUCUUAAGCCACAAAGUUUUUGGGGUGAUUUGUUCUACAGCAAUUGAUAAUGAAUACUUCAACCUAUAGUGACAACUGGAUGUCUAUUUACUCAUUUUCCCCACCAAAGUGUAAAGUUCCUACAAGGCAGAGGUUACAACAUAUUCAUCCUGCUACCUCUCACAGCCCAUAAUAUACAACCUGACCCAUAAAACAUGAUUAAUCAAUGUUUGUUAAAUUAACAUGUAUUUUGAGUUUCAUUGAAAUCAGUUAGUUGAAGUGAUAAUAACAUUUAAAUGUGCAUGAGCAGUAGGACAAGGCAGAUAGCUGGUUAGGAUAGAAAGUUUUUGAAAAUUGUGAGGGGAAAAAUUAUUUCUAUUUGUACCCUGUUGUACCCAGCUUAGGUUUCAAAAACUUUCAGGGGGUUUUUAUUCAUUUACCAAAGACUUCAAAGUUGGUGCCUCCCCACCACUCUAAAGAGGUCUUUGCCCUUAUUGACCCAACCAUACUGAUUUGCCUGGUGCACAGUGGGAGCUAUUAUAAGGAGAGGGGAGAAGAAGGAAAUAGAAACAACUGUGAAAAAGGUUGAAAAAAAUAGCGAAAAGGAUAGAAAAAGAGCAGAGGAAAGAGAAGAAGUAGUCAACAUCCAACCCAGAUGCAGAGAAAUGAUUCAAAAGAAAAAGUCUGAUUUUCCUGUCGGAAAUAUUUUUAAAAGGAGGUAGGCAUUUAUCAAAAAGGAAAAAAAAAAAAAAAGAAUAACAGAGUUUGUCUUCCAAAGGACCCAAUACUCUUGGAAUUCAAUGACCUAAUUCUGUGUAUGGUUGCAGUGUGGAGAUUGCCUCUUGUCUGAUUCUCAUGGCAUUGAGACCUCUGAUUUCUCAACAGCACAUGCCACAGCACUAUCAGAAGUCAGGAAUAAAGAACAGAGGGUGUGGGGGGCAGUCUAGAUAUUAUGCUCAGCAAACAUAUUUUUAAAUCAGUGUAAAUUCUAUCUUGCUGGUUGCUUAUCUUAGCAGUUAAAUCAACUUUUCGUUACUUUUGUAGACAUUAUAUAAUAUCUUCUCCCCGCAGCUCCAGCCACCAGCUGUUAGUCAGCAGAAUGGGAGAGGGACUGGGUCAGCUUAAGCUGAAUAACUUCCAUGGUGACAUUUGAGGGAACCAAUUCCCAGCCACUGAACAAACCUAAAUGUUCUGCUAUGGCCAUAGAACCAAAUAGAUCUUAACAAAGAAACCUGAGAGCAUUCAAAGGUCAAAACAAUUGGAGCUAGUUCCUUCAAGCUUAAAUAUGCUCAUCUGUAAAGUGGGGACAAUAACUGUGUGUCUUAUAGGGUUAUUUUGAAGGCUAAAUAUGUGUAAAAGCCUCAGUCUACUGAAAGGUUGCUCAACUGUAACACUCUUUUCAUUUUGUGAGGGAUCAUUCUUUGUUGGAGGUUAGGGACACUGUCUCGUGCAUUACAGGAUGUUUAGCAACAUCCUCAGCUUCUAUCCAUCAGAUGUUAGCACCCCCCCCACGGACCACCAUCUUCUCCAUCAUCACCAUCAAAUAUGUCUCCAGACAUUUCCAAGUGUCCCCUGGGAGGCUAAAACUGCCCCUGGUUGAGAACCACUGUUCUAGUACUUGGCAUUGUUCCAUAAACAUCAGAUGAUAUUUUUAUCAUUAUAAUUAUUACUAAAGGCAACAUCACCCUGCUAUGGAGACAGGUCCUUGGUCUCACGGAAUCCCUGCAAUAGUUGCUGCAUUUCUGCAUCUUUCUGAGAGUAAGGGUUGAAAAGAGAUAAGGUCAAUUCAUCUGACAACAAUCCAAUGGGAAACCUACUGUCUCCGUAGAAAUUCUUUUCAUGGAAAGAAAAGGGGCUACCAUUUUGAUCUGCUGCAGGAACUAGGUCUAUUCCUCAGCCUCACAGUUUGCAAAACGCUACAGACUUUUCCAUGGGCAUAAAUUCUCCAGCUUUAGGGAUUGCUGGUAUAGUUGACUCUUGAAGCUGCUCUUGGAUUUCCAAGGGUAGCACCAUUUUUACCUGAGAAAAGAAGGAAAAAGAUAUUCAAGAAGGAGAACUUUUCAACAGAAGUUACUCCAUUUGCUGUUUUUGUGGUUUUGUGCUUGUUUAGGUUUGCAAGUGUGUUUUCUGCCCAAAUUGUUCUUGCAUAUUCUAACAGUGUUUGCUUUACGUGUUUUGAUGCCACGCUGUUUUGAAGGUACAAAUGUUUUUCAUGGCAUGUCUUGUGUUAAGUGUACAAACUGAGACGUGAAUGUCAGUGACUGAAUAGAGUACAGUAUUCCUCAAAGUUUGUAACUAAAUAAACCCUAAGAGAAAAGUGAAGCGAGAUUUCUGGAGGUCUGGAAGUGGCCAGCUGACAAUAUACAUCUCUGUAUCUCCUAUUUUUAUCUUUAUGCUAAAUGCAAAUUUUACUUUCUGUGCUAAAAUAAUGUUUCAUUAGUUUCAAGGUAAAAAUGUGUAAAUAGAC